UAGGGAAUAUUGGUAAUCUGGGAAACCGGGAACCAGCAACGCCGCGCGCGCGAUGAAGGCCUUCGGGUUGUAAAGCGCUUUUUAAAGGGAUGAGGAAGGACAGUACCUUUAGAAUAAGCCUCGGCUAACUACGUGCCAGCAGCCGCGGUAAAACGUAGGAGGCGAGCGUUAUCCGGAUUUACUGGGCGUAAAACGUGUGCAGGCGGUUUGAUAAGUUGGAUGUGAAAGCUCCUGGCUUAACCGGGAGAGGUCGCUCAAAACUAUCAGACUAGAGAGUGGUAGAGGGAGAUGGAAUUCCGCGUGUAGUGGUGAAAUGCGUAGAUAUGCGGAGGAACACCAGUGGCGAAAGCGGUCUCCUGGCCCAUUUCUGACGCUCAGACACGAAAGCUAAGGUAGCAAACGG
rnacentral:rRNA from 1 species